AGCGCGUGAAAAUUACAACUAUUAACUGCGUGAUGUCACCGACUUAACCCUGCUUUAAAUAGACCCCUGGUUCCCUCAUUAGCUCAUACCUUUGUCAGUUCUCUCUCUUUACGCGCUUAAUAUUUGGUAGAUCUUACGUCAUCUUCUUCGUGGUUGGAAACUUGGAAUUUGCGCGCUUAAAAUUAGGGUUUUAAAAGAACAAUUAGUGUUUUGAGUGAAAUUUCGAGUUCAAAUUCGAAUUCCUGCGUAUAGUACUUCAUAAGUUGAUUAUAUGAUGUUUCUCUAGAGAUUUUACGAACUUGAUUGAAUAUUUUGGUUUGAUGUUCGAGUUUCGCGGAUAUCCUGAAGUUUAUUUUGAAUUUUGUCGCUUUUUGAUUUUGAUGUUCGAGUCUGCCAAGAUUUGGUGUUUUUGAUAGUUAUACAUCUUUUUGGUUUGGUUUCUUAGAAUUCGAUCUAUUACAUACAAUUUUUAUAUUCAUAUUUGAAGCUUGUGCGAUUGGACGGUGUCGAAGAGUUGUCGCAGUAAUUUGUGCUAGCAUCUAGGUAUUCGACUAUUCGAAAAAAAAAUCGUCCGAAAUUUUUUUAUUUAGUUCGAACUUUUGUUUUAUAUUGUCGAUUUUUUUUUCGAAACUUCAUUUUGUUGAGUUUGGCGUUUUAUUUAUUUUAUUUAUUAUUUUAUAACUUAUUAAAUCUCAAAUUGUUGCAUAUAUUAUAGGAUGCAUGUGAUGCAGCUGCUUCAAGCUUUAUGAUUAUUCAUUCCAUGGCCAAAUGGUAUAAGUAAAGACUAAAUGUGGCUUUGUAUUUCGAGAUCUUGUUUUGAUGGGUUGACUUUAUAUGUUUUCAUUCAGCAUUUCUUGAUUGUUCGGUUGUUUGCAGUAGUCUACUACUUAACAAUGCUUUGCUUAUCUACGUCUGAGUUUGGAAGGUCCAUCCUGAAUUGGUCUUGUGCAGAAACUUUCAGGUAGUUGUUCAAGAGUGAUGGAUCACAGUUUCAAUGGUGCUUCUAUUUACUGCAGUUUAUCGUAGGGGUAAGUUAAUAUUUAGGACUCAACUGAAUUUUUUUAAUGCAUACUACAUCUAUCUGUUAAAUAUCACUUUAGAUGUUGUAGGGCCAAAUUAAGAAAAUUAAACAUCAAUGUGAGUUUUUAGAUGAACAUCUUUUGAGCUGGUGGUUCAGAAAUCUUGAUAAGAGGCGUCAAUCCGUUUUAGUCUCCUUUUUUGGAAUUAUUUAUAGAUUUGGCUUUUUUCUCACGUCCUAACUAACUUGUUCUAUUUCAAAUAGAAGACAAAACUUUCGCGAAUAUUGGUUGAUUUAAUCAAUGGUUUAUGGACUUUAUUAGGAAUUUCAUUACCUUUUGAUUUUGAUAUUCGAGUUUUGCAAAGAAGUUGUGGUUUUCGAUGGUUAUACCGAUGAUUCGUCAUCAAUUUGUUUUGAGUUAUUCUCUUAUAUGAUCAUAUUUGAAAAAACAUUUUGGUCGAAAUUUUUUUGGUCCGAUUUUUUUUUUGGUCCGAUUUUUUUUUAUUUAGUUCAAUUUUUUUUUAUACUAGUUGUUUCUCCGCGCGCCUACGCGCACGGCUCCCAAAAUAGUAUCAUUGCGAUAUUUGUAGUCUGUUAGCCUUAAGUGGUGAAAUAUCUAUUUAGCACGUAUUCCAAACAGACGCUGAGUACACACGUAGUAUAUAAACAGCACCCACCACUAUACCUACCCUAUCUGCUGGGUGAGUCGUCAAUAGGUGAAGUAGAUUACCAGAGGAGAGAAGCAAUGAUAAACCAGCUAAAGCUGCAACUCACAAGAGCUCAGUCUAGAAUGAAACAACAUGCAGAUUUACACAAUCUGGCUAAAACUACAACCAUAUCACCAAACUUCAGUGCAAUCUAGAGCUAAUGUCAAGCUCUCCCAAACGUUCUUUGGCCCUUAUCAAAUUACAGUAGCCAUUGGUAAGGUGGCGUACAAGCUAGAGCUCCCUUCAGAAUCCAAAAUACACAAUGUUUUCCAUGUAUCACAACUGAAGGCUUUCCAUGGAACCCUUCCACAAGCUAUUCACAUCCCCACCUGGAUGCAAGGAAGAAACACUGAGCACUCUCUCAUACCAGCUCCCAUUAUUGACAGAAGGGUGGUGAAGUUUCAUAACAAGGCACAAGUUCAAUACCUAGUGUAGUGGACAGAUUGUUCAGUUGAGAAUGCUUCUUGGUUGCCAGCUGACAUUUUUGAGUAAAAGUUUCCUGACUUUGGAGCCCCUUGAAAUAUGGGUUUAUCCUUUUGCCAUAUGUUUGUUUACAAGUACUUUUUGUGUUUAAAGUUGUAAUUAAAUUUGAGGGAAAGUUUCCUAAAGGGGAAGGUAUGAUAUAGGCACGUGCCAAUGCUAGCUACUAGUCAUGUGACUAAGCGUAAAAUAGGGAAUAUAGUUACAUUCUGUUAGUGGGUGAUUGAUGCCAAAUGUAUUUAAGCUACCUGAUGAGCUGAAUCUGGACCCCAAGCAAUGAAAUGAAGAAUCCUCCCUCUCUCUAUUCUCUCUCUUUCUUCUAUUUCUUUGUCUUAAAUUCUUCUCUUAUCUUCUAUUCUUUCUUCUAACUAAAAUAUUCAUAACGUUAGUGGAUCAUUUGAUCUCCUACAUCAUAAUAGUAGCACAAGGUUGCACGCUUUCUUAGUUUCUUAUGAACCUCAACAGUCAACACUUUCCUACUUAAAAUCUAUCAUUACCACUUUUUGUUCUCAAUAUUAAAAUAGUUAUGGCUCUGUUUGGUUGUGAGCUUUUUCAAGGGAGUUUAGAGUUUUUGGGUCACUUCAGAGGUUUUUCUUGCGGUUUGGUACAGAGAGCUUUCGAUUGGAGUAUUUAUUGAGCCCAAAACUGUGACUUUGGAAAUGCUGUUCUAAGCAGCGUUUACAACAGAGUUUUCUAAAUGGUUCAAAUUAAUUGACAAAUUUACCCAACAGAGUUUUCGGGUCAAUUCAGAUGUUUUUCUUGCUACUUUAGUCGUUCUACUAUCACUAUUGUAGGCACAAUAUACGAAGUUUUUGGUUCUUGGGUAGGACUUUCCUCUAUUUCUGUCUUGUGUUCGCCUUUGACUAGAAAGGAUUUUGUUGUAGUUCUAUGGUGAUUAACAUUUUGAACA